GAGUUUGAUCCUGGCUCAGAUUGAACGCUGGCGGCAUGCCUUACACAUGCAAGUCGAACGGCAGCAUGAUCUAGCUUGCUAGAUUGAUGGCGAGUGGCGAACGGGUGAGUAAUACAUCGGAACGUGCCCUGUAGUGGGGGAUAACUAGUCGAAAGAUUAGCUAAUACCGCAUACGACCUGAGGGUGAAAGUGGGGGACCGCAAGGCCUCAUGCUAUAGGAGCGGCCGAUGUCUGAUUAGCUAGUUGGUGGGUAAAGGCCCACCAAGGCGACGAUCAGUAGCUGGUCUGAGAGGACGAUCAGCCACACUGGGACUGAGACACGGCCCAGACUCCUACGGGAGGCAGCAGUGGGGAAUUUUGGACAAUGGGCGAAAGCCUGAUCCAGCAAUGCCGCGUGUGUGAAGAAGGCC
rnacentral:rRNA from 1 species